rnacentral:rRNA from 1 species
GACGAACGCUGGCGGCGUGCUUAACACAUGCAAGUCGAACGGAAAGGCCCUGCUUUUGUGGGGUGCUCGAGUGGCGAACGGGUGAGUAACACGUGAGUAACCUGCCCUUGACUUUGGGAUAACUUCAGGAAACUGGGGCUAAUACCGGAUAGGAGCUCCUGCUGCAUGGUGGGGGUUGGAAAGUUUCGGCGGUUGGGGAUGGACUCGCGGCUUAUCAGCUUGUUGGUGGGGUAGUGGCUUACCAAGGCUUGGACGGGUAGCCGGCCUGAGAGGGUGACCGGCCACAUUGGGACUGGGAUACGGCCCAGACUCCUACGGGAGGCAGCAGUGGGGAAUAUUGCACAAUGGGCGGAAGCCUGAUGCAGCAACGCCGCGUGCGGGAUGACGGCCUUCGGGUUGUAAACCGCUUUCGCCUGUGACGAAGCGUGAGUGACGGUAAUGGGUAAAGAAGCACCGGCUAACUACGUG